rnacentral:rRNA from 1 species
AGGAUGAACGCUGGCGGCGUGCUUAACACAUGCAAGUCGAACGAAGCACUCGGAAGUUUUCGGACAGAAGGGUGACUGAGUGGCGGACGGGUGAGUAACGCGUGAGCAACCUGCCCUCUACUGGGGAACAACACAUCGAAAGAUGUGCUAAUACCGCAUAAGACCACAGUGCUGACAUGGUACAGGGGUCAAAGGAUUUAUUCGGUAGAGGAUGGGCUCGCGUCUGAUUAGCUAGUUGGUGAGGUAACGGCCCACCAAGGCGACGAUCAGUAGCCGGACUGAGAGGUUGAACGGCCACAUUGGGACUGAGACACGGCCCAGACUCCUACGGGAGGCAGCAGUGAGGGAUAUUGCACAAUGGGCGCAAGCCUGAUGCAGCAACGCCGCGUGAGGGAUGACGGUUUUCGGAUUGUAAACCUCUGUCUUCAGUGAUGAUAAUGACAUUAGCUGAGGAGGAAGCCACGGCUAACUACGUGCCAGCAGCCGCGGUAAUACGUAGGUGGCGAGCGUUGUCCGGAUUUACUGGGUGUAAAGGGAGCGCAGGCGGGAUUGCAAGUCAGUGGUGAAAUAUAUGGGCUUAACCCAUAGACUGCCAUUGAAACUGUAGUUCUUGAGUGAAGUAGAGGCAGGCGGAAUUCCGAGUGUAGCGGUGAAAUGCGUAGAUAUUCGGAGGAACACCAGUGGCGAAGGGCGGCUUGCUGGGCUUUUACUGACGCUGAGGCUCGAAAGUGUGGGGAGCAAACAGGAUUAGAUACCCUGGUAGUCCACACCUGUAAACGAUGAUUUACUAACCGUCGGCGAUACACAGUCGGUGGCCAAGCGAAAGCGAUAAGUCAUCCACCUGGGGAGUACGACCGCAAGGUUGAAACUCAAAGGAAUUGACGGGGGCCCGCACAAGCGGAGGAACAUGUGGUUUAAUUCGAUGAUACGCGAGGAACCUUACCCGGGCUCGAACGGCAGAUGGAUUGAGUAGAGAUAUUCAAGUCUUCGGACAUCUGUCGAGGUGCUGCAUGGUUGUCGUCAGCUCGUGCUGUGAAGUGUCGGCUUAAGUGCCAUAACGAGCGCAACCCUUAUUGAUAGUUGCUAACAGGUUAAGCUGAGGACUCUAUCGAGACUGCCAGCGCAAGCUGCGAGGAAGGCGGGGAUGACGUCAAAUCAGCACGGCCCUUACGUUCCGGGCUACACACGUACUACAAUGGUGAGAACAAAGGGAAGCGAUACCGCGAGGUGGAGCGAACCCCAUAAAAAUCAUCCCAGUUCGGACUGCAGGCUGCAACUCGCCUGCACGAAGUUGGAAUAAAUAGUAAUCGCGGAUCAGCAUGCCGCGGUGAAUA